rnacentral:snRNA from 1 species
AUUUCUUGAGGGGGAAGAGUCACACAGUAGCUUGCUAUUGGGUCUCUUCGCGUGUCGCUUUUGCGUUGCACUAUAGCAAUUGCUGGCGCACCCCAC